UAACCCUGAGCGUGCUUUCGAUACGGGUUGACUUGAGGAAGGUAGGGGAGAAUGGAAUUCCUGGUGGAGCGGUGGAAUGCGCAGAUAUCAGGAGGAACACCAGUGGCGAAGGCGGUUCUCUGGGCCUUUCCUGACGCUGAGGAGCGAAAGCGUGGGGAGCGAACAGGCUUAGAUACCCUGGUAGUCCACGCUGUAAACGGUGGGUACUAGGUGUGGGGUCCAUUCCACGGGUUCCGCGCCGUAGCUAACGCUUUAAGUACCCCGCCUGGGGAGUACGGCCGCAAGGCUAAAACUCAAAUGAAUUGACGGA
rnacentral:rRNA from 1 species